GGCGGCCAAAUUUUGAAUCCAAAUUUUUGAAUCCCGCUCAUCCCCCAAUUCCCCAUACACCCAUCCAUUAUUGUCGUGUUUUUUCAUUUUGUUGAGAGACCAUUAACGAGAGAGUUUAACCAGAUAUUUUAUCAUCAAUUUGCAGAGAAUCCAUAUUUGUUGUUUUCUUUUCGUUUCUAAUUACUUGAGAUUUUAUCAUCAAUAUGAUUCUACUUUCUGUUAUAGGGGACUCAGAGCUUUACUUGUUGGCGUGUUGGGAUUAUUCGACUAUUCCUUGCCAAAAUCCAGAGAGAUUUUGUAAUAUGCUUCUAGAUUUGACCAUAGCCAUUUGCUGUGGUUUUGAGAUCCAAAAAUGGCAUGUGUUGAUUUGGCUUUGAGUUAUAUUCAGAUGUGGGUCAACUGUUCACAGUCAUGUUUGUCGGGUGGAAAAAGCGUAGUUGUUUUGGUCAUGAGCUUGGUGUUGCGUAAUCAGAGGACGGCUAGCUUCUGCUUGCAAUCCCAGUCGUAGCCAUGGAGAUGUUAUGAUAUGAUAUAGGAGCAACUUUGGCUUGUGGGACUGGAGCGUGCGUAGUAGUUGUUGCGGCUAUUCUCAAGGGUUGUUCUGGGGGAGUAAGUUUGUAUAAUUUAAUGCUGAAUUCGGAUAUACACGAUGUUAAUUAAUAAAUGUUAUAUAAUAUAUGUAACUUGUGUUGUACAAUACUGUAAAGUUGAUUUACCAGGAGGGCCAUUGGAUGGGUCCUGUAGAAGUAGUGUCUUUUUGGAUCUGUUCAGCUCUAGGAUUCGUACAAUCUCAAAAUAAUUUCCAAAUUUGUGGGAAGUGAGUUAUGAGAAUUGAGGUCUCUACUAUCGUCUGUUUCUUAUGCCUCCAAUGUUUCAUCAGUGUCCACGUAGCGAGGAGGUACUGAAUGCGGCUACUAUAUGAUGAAGUUAAUGAAGGAGAUAGUUUACGAAUGAGUUAAAAUACUUGACAAUGAUAAUGUUGGGAAAGGAGUAGAGGAAUACUCUGCCGCGGAUAUAUAUGGCAUUCGCGAAGAUUGGUCGACUUAUGCGGUAACCUCUAUUUUUAAGUGACAAAUCGUAUUUUAGGUGUUGACGAUGUAUAGACAAACAAUUCUUUUUUUUUUGUUAACGUUAAAAUAUUUGUAGUAUACUUGACAAAUGAUUAUGUAAUGGAUUGUUUUGAUAUAUAUAUAUACAUGCAUAUUUGUUUUAUGAAA